rnacentral:rRNA from 1 species
UACGUAGGUGGCAAGCGUUGUCCGGAAUUACUGGGCGUAAAGGGCGCGUAGGCGGUUUUGUAAGUCAGGAGUGAAAUCCCGGAGCUUAACUUCGGAAUUGCUUUUGAAACUACAAGGCUAGAGUGAGUUAGAGGAUGGCGGAAUUCUUAGUGUAGAGGUGAAAUUCGUAGAUAUUAAGAAGAACACCGGUGGCGAAGGCGGCCAUCUGGGACUCAACUGACGCUGAGGCGCGAAAAGCGUGGGGAGCGAACGAG